AUUCCAGCUCCAAUAGCGUAUACUAAAGUUGUUGCAGUUAAAAAGCUCGUAGUUGGAUUUCUGUUUUUAAAAAUCGGUCGUAACCUCACGGUUUCUGUACCAGGUUUCUUAAAUGCAUCCUCAGGGUUCUGUUAUCUGGUAUUAAUUUAUCGGAUUUCUGGUCCUUGUCAUUUACUGUGAGCAAAAUAGAGUGUUCAAAGCAGGCUUAGGCCAUGAAUACAUUAGCAUGGAAUAAUAAGAUAGGACCUUGGUCUAUUUUGUUGGUUUACAUUCCAAGGUAAUGAUUAAUAGGGAUAGUUGGGGGUAUUCGUAUUCAAUUGUCAGAGGUGAAAUUCUUGGAUUUAUGGAAGACGAACUACUGCGAAAGCAUUUACCAAGGAUGUUUUCAUCG
rnacentral:rRNA from 1 species